CCUACGGGAGGCAGCAGUGAGGAAUAUUGGUCAAUGGGCGCGAGCCUGAACCAGCCAAGCAGCGUGAAGGAUGACUGCCCUACGGGUUGUAAACUUCUUUUAUAAAGGAAUAAAGUCAGGCACGCGUGCCUUUUUGUAUGUACUUUAUGAAUAAGGAUCGGCUAACUCCGUGCCAGCAGCCGCGGUAAUACGGAGGAUCCGAGCGUUAUCCGGAUUUAUUGGGUUUAAAGGGAGCGUAGAUGGGUUGUUAAGUCAGGUGUGAAAGGUUGCGGCUCAACCGCAAAAUUGCAGUUGAUACUGGCAGUCUUGAGUACGGGUGAGGUAGGCGGAAUGCGUGGUGUAGCGGUGAAAUGCUUAGAUAUCACGAAGAACUCCGAUUGCGAAGGCAGCUUACUAAACUGCCACUGACGUUGAGGCUCGAAAGUGUGGGUAUCGAACAGGAUUAGAUACCCUUGUAGUC
rnacentral:rRNA from 1 species